CCAAAAUCCUCCAAAGGCGGUGAUCUGCUUGCGGGGAUAAGUGUACAGUACCAUCCUACGGGAUCAUCGUGCACAGUUCGACUGUUGAAAGGUUUUCGAGAAUCGUACUCGUACAGGAGUCAUUCAAGUGGGUGGUAGAUGUUGGUGCCUUCCAAGGAGAUGAAUGCUGGAUUCCAUCUGAAGUCCAUGCCGAACGCCCCCUGGUUUUUGACCCUUGACCUACGCUGCAUUUUUUACGUUUUUAAAUUGAAUUCCUCUAUAGAGUUAGGGUCCAAGUAGACUGCCCUCAGCAACAAAAAUAUCAGGAUUGAGAGAUGAAGGGUUGGAGGGUCUCCCCGAUGGUGCCCAUGGUCCUGCUGCUCCUUGCCAUUCUUUCAUGUCCCAUUGCAGCUAAACCCAAACUACUGCAAGGGGAAUGCACAUGAAUAGGUGAGUCAACUCAUCAAAAUUGGAUCCAUCUCUUUCAGAGAUGGUGGUUGCCCGAAGAGGGAGGCUUGCCCCUCCUCCUCCAAAACCCAAUGGAAAUUUGCAAUGGAGGCGUUCAAUUCCAAAGCCAGACCCUGAAGAACCUUCUCCUCCACCACCUCCCCCUGAAGAAUGAACUUUGGAAGCUAAUGGAGUUGAUUUAUGUGGUUGUCUGCAUUUCUCAAGGGAGAAUAGCAUUUUCUUGCACUUCUUUUGCACGUCAUACUCAUUAUAAAAAGUUUUUUACCAUACUCAAUGUUUCUAUUUACCUACAAUAUUUCCCCUUUUCUUUAGUGAUAUACUUGAGAAGUUCCAAUGGAAAUUCACUUGCAGGAAUGCUCAAAAAAGGUUUUAA